ensembl:lncRNA
AUGAGCCGCCAUUUUGUUUUCCGCCAUUUUGUUUCCGUUUUCCGCCAUAUUUUUGUCAUUUCUUCACCGUUUUUCGCCGUUUUUUCACCGUUUUUCCCCGAUUUUUCCCCAUUUCCCCCAACUUUUAACCCUUUCAUCCCUCAUUUGUUUCAUUUUCCCCCAUUUUGUUCCCAUUUCCCGCCAUUUUCCCUCAAUUUCCGCCAUUUUGUUCCCAUGAGCCGCCAUUUUGUUUUCCGCCAUUUUGUUUCCGUUUUCCGCCAUAUUUUUGCCAUUUCUUCACCGUUUUUCACCAUUUUUUCAUCAUUUUCCCCCAAAUUUUCACCAUUUCCCCCAAUUUUUAACCCUUUCAUCCCUCAUUUGUUUAAUUUUCCGCCAUUUUGUUCCCAUUUCCCGCCAUUUUCCCUCAAUUUCCGCCAUUUUGUUUCAAUUUUCCGCCAUAUUUUCGCCGUUUCUUCACCGUUUUUCCCCAAAUUUUCCCCAUUUCUCUCCAUUUUUAACCCUUUCAUGCUUCAUUUCCCUCCUUUCCCGCCAUCUUGUUUCUGUUUCCCGCCAUUUUCCCUCAAUUUCCGCCAUUUUGUUUCCAUUUUCCGCCAUAUUUUCGUCAUUUCUUCACCGUUUUCACCAUUUUUUCAUCAUUUUUCCCCAAAUUUUCCCCAUUUCCCCCAAUUUUUAACCCUUUCAUUCCCCAUUGUUUCAUUUUCCCCCAUUUUGUUUCCAUUUCCCGCCAUUUUCCCUCAAUUUCCGCCAUUUUGUUUCUGUUUUCUGCCAUUUUGUUUCCGUUUUCCGCCAUAUUUUCGCCGUUUCUUCACCGUUUUUCGCCGUUUUUUCACCGUUUUUCCCCGUUUUUUCCCCAUUUCUCCCAUUUUUUAACCCUUUCACGCCCCCUCCAACCCUUUCACCCACUCCACCGUCCUCUCCCUCGCCUCCUCCCAGGUAAAAAGCGGCCGGAAGCCGAACCUUUUCUCGGCCUUAUCCGUGCGAACGGUGAACGCCGUCCGCGCCACCGCCCACGUGUAGGGGUUCAACCAGGCCCCAAAUUCUCGAUUUUUCCCGUUUUUUCCCCAUUUAUUCCCAGUUUUCCCUGGAUUUCCCAUUUUUUUUCCAUUUUUUCCCCCAUUUUUAAUUUUUUUUCCCGUUUUUUCCUCAUUUUUUCCCAUUUUUUGGUGUUUUUUCCCCAAUUUUUCCCAUUUUUCCCCAUUUCUCUCCAUUUUUAACCCUUUCAUGCUUCAUUUCCCUCCUUUCCCGCCAUCUUGUUUCUGUUUCCCGCCAUUUUCCCUCAAUUUCCGCCAUUUUGUUUCCAUUUUCCGCCAUAUUUUCGUCAUUUCUUCACCGUUUUCACCAUUUUUUCAUCAUUUUUCCCCAAAUUUUCCCCAUUUCCCCCAAUUUUUAACCCUUUCAUUCCCCAUUGUUUCAUUUUCCCCCAUUUUGUUUCCAUUUCCCGCCAUUUUCCCUCAAUUUCCGCCAUUUUGUUUCUGUUUUCCGCCAUUUUGUUUCCAUUUUCCGCCAUUUUUUCACCAUUUUUUCACAAUUUCCCCCCAAAUUUUCCCCAUUUCCCCCAUUUUUAACUCUUUAAUUCCUCAAUUUCUUUGUUUUCCGCCAUUUUGUUUCCAUUUCCUGCCAUUUUCCCUCAAUUUCCGCCAUUUUGUUCCCAUGAGCCGCCAUUUUGUUUUCCGCCAUUUUGUUACCGUUUUCCACCAUAUUUUUGCCAUUUCUUCACCGUUUUUCACCAUUUUUUCAUCAUUUUCCCCCAAAUUUUCACCAUUUCCCCCAAUUUUUAACCCUUUCAUCCCUCAUUUGUUUAAUUUUCCGCCAUUUUGUUUCCAUUUCCCGCCAUUUUCCCUCAAUUUCCGCCAUUUUGUUUCCGUUUUCC